rnacentral:rRNA from 1 species
GAUGAACGCUGGCGGCGUGCUUAACACAUGCAAGUCGAACGGAAAGGCCAGUGCUUGCACUGGUGCUCGAGUGGCGAACGGGUGAGUAACACGUGGGUGAUCUGCCCUGCACUUUGGGAUAAGCCUGGGAAACUGGGUCUAAUACCAGAUAGGACCAUGCUUUGGAUGGUGUGGUGGAAAGUUUUUUCGGUGUGGGAUGAGCUUGCGGCCUAUCAGCUUGUUGGUGGGGUAAUGGCCUACCAAGGCGUCGACGGGUAGCCGGCCUGAGAGGGUGUACGGCCACAUUGGGACUGAGAGACGGCCCAGACUCCUACGGGAGGCAGCAGUGGGGAAUAUUGCACAAUGGGCGCAAGCCUGAUGCAGCGACGCCGCGUGGGGGAUGACGGCCUUCGGGUUGUAAACUCCUUUCGCAACUGACGAAGCUUUUUGUGACGGUAGGUUGAGAAGAAGCACCGGCUAACUACGUG